rnacentral:rRNA from 1 species
UACAGAGGGGGCAAGCGUUGUUCGGAAUUACUGGGCGUAAAGGGCGCGUAGGCGGCCUGUUAAGUCGAACGUGAAAUCCCCGGGCUCAACCCGGGAACUGCGUCCGAUACUGGCAGGCUCGAAUCCGGGAGAGGGAUGCGGAAUUCCAGGUGUAGCGGUGAAAUGCGUAGAUAUCUGGAGGAACACCGGUGGCGAAGGCGGCAUCCUGGACCGGCAUUGACGCUGAGGCGCGAAAGCUAGGGGAGCGAACGGG